GAUGAAGAACGCAGCGAAAUGCGAUACUUGGUGUGAAUUGCAGAAUCCCGUGAACCAUCGAGUCUUUGAACGCAAGUUGCGCCCGAAGCCAUUAGGCCGAGGGCACGCCUGCCUGGGUGUCACACGUCGUUGCCCCCCCAUCUACUCCUUCGGGAUUGCGGGGGGCGGAUGAUGGCCUCCCGUGCGCCUCGUCGCGCGGUUGGCAUAAAUGCCAAGUCCUCGGCGACGCACGCCACGACAAUCGGUGGUUGCGAAACCUCGGUUGCCCGUCGUGUGCGGUCGUCGCGCAUCGAGGGCUCGAAAAAAUUGCCGGGCUCCGGCUCGGCUUUCAACGCGACCCCAGGUCAGGCGGGGUUACCCGCUGAAUUUAAGCAUAUCAAUAAGGGAGGA
rnacentral:misc_RNA from 1 species